rnacentral:rRNA from 1 species
UACGUAGGGCGCGAGCGUUGUCCGGAUUUAUUGGGCGUAAAGAGCUCGUAGGCGGCUCGUUGCGUCCAUCGUGAAAACUCAGGGCUUAACUCUGAGCUUGCGGUGGAUACGGGCGGGCUAGAGUUCGGUAGGGGAGACUGGAAUUCCUGGUGUAGCGGUGAAAUGCGCAGAUAUCAGGAGGAACACCGGUGGCGAAGGCGGGUCUCUGGGCCGAUACUGACGCUGAGGAGCGAAAGCGUGGGGAGCGAACAGG